GAUGAACGCUGGCGGUAUGCUUAACACAUGCAAGUCGAACGGACUCUUCGGAGUUAGUGGCGGACGGGUGAGUAACGCGUGAGAAUCUGGCUUUGGGUUCGGGACAACCACUGGAAACGGUGGCUAAUACCGGAUGUGCCGAGAGGUAAAAGAGAAAUUGCCUGAAGAUGAGCUCGCGUCUGAUUAGCUAGUUGGUGAGGUAAAGGCUCACCAAGGCAGCGAUCAGUAGCUGGUCUGAGAGGAUGACCAGCCACACUGGGACUGAGACACGGCCCAGACUCCUACGGGAGGCAGCAGUGGGGAAUUUUCCGCAAUGGGCGAAAGGCUGACGGAGCAAUACCGCGGGAGGGAAGAAGGCUCUUGGGUUGUAAACCUCUUUUCUUAGGGAAGAACAAAAUGACGGUACCUAAGGAAUCAGCAUCGGCUAACUCCGUG
rnacentral:rRNA from 1 species